rnacentral:misc_RNA from 1 species
UCCGGUUUCGCACCGGCAGUCUUCCUAGAGUCCCCGACAUUACUCGCUGGCAACUAGGAACGGGGGUUGCGCUCGUUGCGGGACUUAACCCAACAUCUCACGACACGAGCUGACGACAGCCAUGCAGCACCUGUGCGCAGACUCCGAAGAGCGUAUGGCGUUUCUGCCAUACUUCCUGCGCAUGUCAAGCCUGGGUAAGGUUCUUCGCGUUGCGUCGAAUUAAACCACAUGCUCCACCGCUUGUGCGGGCCCCCGUCAAUUCCUUUGAGUUUCAGCCUUGCGGCCGUACUCCCCAGGCGGGGUACUUCCUGCGUUAGCGCCGGCACUCAGGGGGUCGCUCCCCCAAGCACCUAGUACCCAUCGUUUACGGCGUGGACUAC